UGGAAAGUUUCUGUGGUGGCCAUCAAC
rnacentral:piRNA from 1 species